rnacentral:rRNA from 1 species
GCCCGGGGCUCAACCUCGGAACCGCAUUUGAAACUGGCAGGCUAGAGUCUUGUAGAGGGGGGUAGAAUUUCAGGUGUAGCGGUGAAAUGCGUAGAGAUCUGAAGGAAUACCAGUGGCGAAGGCGGCCCCCUGGACAAAGACUGACGCUCAGAUGCGAAAGCGUGGGUAGCAAACAGGAUUAGAUACCCUGGUAGUCCACGCCGUAAACGCUGUCUACUUGGAGGUUGAGGUUUAAGACUUUGGCUUUCGGCGCUAACGCAUUAAGUAGACCGCCUGGGGAGUACGGCCGCAAGGUUAAAACUCAAAUGAAUUGACGGGGGCCCGCACAAGCGGUGGAGCAUGUGGUUUAAUUCGAUGCAACGCGAAGAACCUUACCUACUCUUGACAUCCAGUGAACUUUCCAGAGAUGGAUUGGUGCCUUCGGGAACACUGAGACAGGUGCUGCAUGGCUGUCGUCAGCUCGUGUUGUGAAAUGUUGGGUUAAGUCCCGCAACGAGCGCAACCCUUAUCCUUGUUUGCCAGCACGUAAUGGUGGGAACUCCAGGGAGACUGCCGGUGAUAAACCGGAGGAAGGUGGGGACGACGUCAAGUCAUCAUGGCCCUUACGAGUAGGGCUACACACGUGCUACAAUGGCAGAUACAGAGGGCAGCGAAGCUGCGAAGUGGAGCGAAUCCCUUAAAGUCUGUCGUAGUCCGGAUUGGAGUCUGCAACU